AAGGACAAAAUGCUUGGAGGAGCAACAGACACCCUGAGACCAUGAAGACAGGACGAAGUCACACACUAAGAUCUGAGGCCCAGGGUCACCACAAACCCGGGAGACAUGAGGCCAGGCCUGAGAGGCACAGGCAGGCUGAGGAAUGGACAGAAGAGCAACAGAGAAGCCUGGAGGAUGAAAGCCAACUCUGCAAAGAGCUUCCAAGAGUCUUCCUGCCACAGAAAUUCCACUUGGCCACAGAAAUGGCCCUGGCCCUGGGCCAGGAGAGAGGUGGCGACGAGCUGCUCAUGGCAAUGACUUUCAGUCAGCAUGUCUUACCUGUGCUUCCAAGGGUGGAGAUGCCACUUUGAGUAGGUCACUGGGUCAGGCAGGUCACAAACCAAGCUCCUCCUACACAGUGAGUUCACGGAGACAGAGAGAAGGAAGGGAAGGAGGUUCUCAGCUCUACUGAUUCCUUAGGUCAAGGAGGGACAGGGUCCCUGUACUUGGGGACCCUCCAGUCUGAUGGGAAGAUACAAGGCAACCCUCUUAGAGCCGUAGAAUGAAUGCCACCUAUAGUUCCUCCCUUCAGGAAGGAAAUCCAGUCUGAUGGAAGAGACACGGCCCCUGUUGUAUCAUUCUUGCCUUCUUACCCAUGUCACACAAGGGAGUGAAGGAGGUGGCAGGCCCAGGGAUAGGUCCAUUUCUGUGGUGAAUGGAGGCUUUCAGAGGACAUUCCCACAGCCCUGCUGUCAAGGGCCCCUUCCCCUUCCUCCCUCCCCGGCACGAUGCCUUACCCACUGGAAUGAAUCCUGAGCUCUGAGCCUAUUCCUAACACAUGAAUGCUGACCCCUUUGUCACGUCCCGCUUUCCCUCCAACUCUGUUUUUUGUUCUUUUUCCCACCCAGACUCGCCCUCCCCCACUUGCCAUUUCCCAAGCUCAUCCCGGGGAGACCAGACUCAAUGGCCCACUGGUGAUCUUGUUUUACAUGAGACAUUUCCAAAAAAGACCAAAAAA
ensembl:lncRNA LINC01913 long intergenic non-protein coding RNA 1913